GGCCAUAGCCCAGUGGGAGAGCAUUUGCUUUGUGUUCAGAAGGUCCCAGGUUCAUCCCCAGGGAGGGCUG